rnacentral:lncRNA from 1 species
ACUUUUGUUUUCAGAGAGGCUGAGAGAAAGCCACCUCAGCUCUUGGCAUGGCCACCAGCCUAAGGGCCCUGGGCUUUCCAGGGAGGGAAAGCUGUAUCCCACUCAGAGACUUCCUGGUAAAAUGAGGCCAGCGGUGCAAUUCUGUCAACACACAGCAAGAGAGCCAGUAUUGGUGGCUCUAGAAGGAACAAAACGGUCAUUUGUAGCUAUGAGCCUGAGGCUAUGGCAAGCAAAACUGAACCUAAGGAGGAAAUGUGUGACUGACAGAAGGUCAUCAGUUCACUGCUCUAUACGGCUCCCUUGGAAUCCAAGAGAUUUCACUUGAGAUCCAAUGAUGCCUGAGGCCCUUCCUCAGGUCUGACAGUGACUGCUAAGCUAGAGACAUCUAACAGUGAAAAUUCUUGGAGUCAUUUAUAGAAGGAUAUAAAUAUACAAAAAGGAAUGACUAGAACUGGAACAUUGCCACAAAGAAGAGAGCUGGCUAUAAGAACUGGAGUGUAAUUCAGUUACAGAGUGCUUGCUUAGCAAGCAAAGCCCUGGGUUCCAUCCCCAGAACUGAAAGAAAAAGGCAUCUAGUUAUAAGCUCUGCUUUACAGAUAAGAAAAAUUACUAAGUUUUGUAAAAUCUAUAAAUUUAUAUGGAUCAA